GAGUUGGUGGAAGCUCUCCCGUUAAAAAAUCUACUAAAAAACAACUGGCGAGUAUAGCUACGCCAUGGCUGCCUAGUUUAGAACUACGCACUGCCAUCGUGCCGCCGGGGCUUUUCCAUUGCGCCCCGGAGUUCGGCGCGUCGUAAGUAACGGAUAGCCAGCUGAGAGCCGUGAUUGGCUGGCGAAACUUCACUGCGGAUAAGGAGGCAUUAUAGGCCCGGCUGGUGCCCGGUGCCUCUCGAAUAAAACAAGCCAGACUACGCACGUAGAAAGCACGUCAACUUCCUUGUCUGGACCAGGGUUCGAAUCCCUGCAUCUCCACAU
rnacentral:tmRNA from 1 species